CGGGGAGAAAAAAGUUACUUCCGCCGUGCAGGUUUCCCAUAGUGCAUUGUUAAAUGAAUAAAUUACCGAAAUAGUAUUGAAUCUUGCUUGUUUUUCCCCCACAAUCUUCCUGCGUGGGUUUUACCAAGUGCUUCUCUGCACCUUCUCAGUAUAAGGUGCUGAGAGGCGGGUCUUGGAUACUGCAGUGCACAGUGGGGUACGCCGGCUGUCAUAUCAUCGGGGAGUUUUGACGGACAGAAGAACGGUUUACUAUAACUAAGCGAAAAUAUUAUUAUUUUUUUUUAAUUUUUUGCUAAGUCAGAGUUGCAGGAGAGAGGAGGAAUCGAAUAAAAAUAAGCGGUGAUACGUUACCUAACGUUGGGCAUCCAGGGGUAGACCGCACCAGAGGGAACGGAGGUGGGGAAACUUGAACAUCCCUUUUAUCUCCCUGUGCUGAUCCCUAGUAGACCAAGGUUUGUUUUUACUGAUUAACAAGAAGGGGCAUCAUUUUUAAGAAUGAAAUAUGAUUUUUAAGAGGCAACUUGUGAAGAAAGAAGUAUUUCGGCGAAAAGCAGUGAUCUGUUCGGCAAAUUAUUGUCCACCCCCCAGCGAAAUGGAUACUAUUUUGAAGACAUUCUGAAAAAGCCUUAACAAGAGCAGUUAUCAGAUACAGUCCUUUAUCAUGAAAUGUUUUGGAACCUGAAAAUAAAUAUCUAGACUUAUUAUUGCACAUAUUCUACAGACUUCAUUUGGAACUAUUGAAAAUCUUGCUACAGUUAAAAGAAAUAACCUAUAUUUGCUUUUAAAGCGUACAGUCUAGACCAAUCUUACAAGAGAGAAGAGUGAAACAGAUGAGGUGACAGAUUUCAGCUGUCAGGUAAUAAUGAACCCAUCCAAAAACAGGAAAAAUCAAACCAACUUUCUGCAUUCCUGAUACAAGAACAGAGUGAAUCACUAAGCUAGAUCACAUUAAAGAGUUUUAUCAUGUGUGGCCUCCUAUACUGUUAUGAUGUUACAUCAUUAUUUCUGGCUGUGGGUUGAUUUUCAUCUUAGUGUCUUCUGCUCCUCUUGAUGAUCUGCAACUUACAAGAAGGUUUUCCAGAUGGAUGGACUGUUUGGGAUG